CGUCGAUUCUUUUGGCGUGAGUGUGCCGGGACAUCAUGACAUGCUGCAACACAACAACACAAAGCUGAGUUUGUCCCCUGAAGUCACAGAACCGAGCACGUCUGCUCUGUUCUGUCAGGAGGGAGCAUUUGGAGGACAGGCGAGAAGCCGCACCUGGAGGCGGAGCCUGCUGCCCCACGUGACCAGCCUGAUGUGGCUCGUGCUAGUCCUGGUCUGAAUAGCAGCUCACCGUUUCUUCUGGACGAAAGAAAGCGCCAGCAGAAUGACGAUGCCCGCCAGAACCAUACCCAUCACCACCCCGAACACGAUCAGCCAUGUGGGUGUGGGGGGUUCAACCGGCGCCGCCAGCGUGGGGAGGAU